rnacentral:rRNA from 1 species
UGCGUAGGCGGAAGAUUAAGUCAGUGAUGAAAUCCUGCAGCUCAACUGUAGAACUGUCAUUGAUACUGAUUUUCUUGAAUACAGUUGAGGUAGGCGGAAUAUGUAAUGUAGCGGUGAAAUGCUUAGAUAUUACAUAGAACACCAAUUGCGAAGGCAGCUUACUAAACUGUGAUUGACGCUGGGGCACGAAAGCGUGGGGAGCGAACAGGAUUAGAUACCCUGGUAGUCC